rnacentral:rRNA from 1 species
UGGGGAAUAUUGGACAAUGGGCGAAAGCCUGAUCCAGCCAUGCCGCGUGUGUGAAGAAGGUCUUCGGAUUGUAAAGCAAUUUAAGUUGGGAGGAAGGGCAUUAACCUAAUACGUUAGUGUUUUGACGUUACCGACAGAAUAAGCACCGGCUAACUCUGUGCCAGCAGCCGCGGUAAUACAGAGGGUGCAAGCGUUAAUCGGAAUUACUGGGCGUAAAGCGCGCGUAGGUGGUUUGUUAAGUUGGAUGUGAAAUCCCCGGGCUCAACCUGGGAACUGCAUUCAAAACUGACUGACUAGAGUAUGGUAGAGGGUUGUGGAAUUUCCUGUGUAGCGGUGAAAUGCGUAGAUAUAGGAAGGAACACCAGUGGCGAAGGCGACCACCUGGACUAAUACUGACACUGAGGUGCGAAAGCGUGGGGAGCAAACA